UCACAGCAAUAAGUACGAUGAUAGAAAAGGGGGAGAUGCUGACCUUUCAAAAAAUGAAAGAGAUGUUUGAUUUAGAAAAGAGCGACCUCUUCCGGUAUCUACAAGUGAGAGACUACUACACAACAGAAAUAAAAAUGGAUACGACAACUGAAAGACAUGAUGUAAUACAGGUAAUGAUAGAUGCAUAUAACGGGGGUAAGAGUAGCAUCAUUUCAUCCCUUUUCAAAGGGCUCCUGUUGAACAGAGGGAAUUCGACUCUGUAUGUAAAACAGAAAUGGGAAAAGGAACUCCAAACCGAGAUAACGGAGGAAGAAUGGUUAAAUAUGUGCAGGAUACAACAAUCAACAACCGUUUCGAGACGUUGGACGAAGUUUGGGUGGAAAAAUAUCAUGAGAUUUUUUAUAACCCCAGAGAUGACCGAGAAAUACAAACAAGGGCAAAAUGAGUGCUGGCGGUUAUGUGGACAGGAGAGAUCUGAAGAUCAUGCACACAUAUUUUGGAAAUGUCAAAAGCUAAAAGGUUAUUGGGAAGAGGUUUGGAGAGAACUGAAGAAGAUAAUCGGCUAUGAAAUACCAAAGACCGGCUUAGUGAUGUAUCUGGGCAAUAUAAUCAGGGAAGUGUACUAACGAGAGACGAGUACUUGGUAAAAGUGUUGCUGGCUGCCAGCAAGAAAGCCAUAACAAGAACAUGGUUUAAAACUGACCCACCAACAAAGAACCUAUGGCUGGAAAUAGUGGGAGAAAUAUUUGAGUUGGAAAGAUUCACAUACAUAUUAAGGGUCCAAGUAGGGAAGUUUAAAACGAGAUGGGAAAAAUGGGAGGAGUACAAAAACAAA